UACAGAGGUCUCAAGCGUUGUUCGGAUUCAUUGGGCGUAAAGGGUGCGUAGGCGGCGCGGUAAGUCGGGUGUGAAGUCUCGGGGCUUAACUCCGAAACUGCAUUCGAUACUGCCGUGCUUGAGGACUGGAGAGGAGACUGGAAUUCCUGGUGUAGCGGUGAAAUGCGCAGAUAUCAGGAGGAACACCAAUGGCGAAGGCAGCUCGCUGGGACGUUACUGACGCUGAGACGCGAAAGCGUGGGGAGCAAACAGG
rnacentral:rRNA from 1 species